CCCUCAGUGGAGAAGGAGAACAGGCUAGCAAGGAGACUCCGGACUAGGGUCGCACCGGGAAUUCGGAAGCGCUGGAUUUUGCGUGGCCUCGGGCUCGGAAGCCAGGUCUAUUGUCCUGCUAAGAGCUCCCUGGACAGGGAUUGGGGUAGGGAGUGGGGGUUGUAUAGCUGCAUUUCCCUUUUAUAUUUUAAAGGGGGAAGUGGGGGUAAGGCAGGGAGGAGAUUGGACAAAAUACUUACUAAAUGUAAAUUUUUGAUGCGAAGAACGGAAUAACAAUUCCAUAAUUUUCAGUUGCUCCAUUAGGUUAACUUCACUUUUGAAUGCUCAGUUUUGAAAUUGGCUAGUGUGCUUAACAGAAUUUGAUCGCGUUCAGGGGUGAGCAUUUGAUACAUCUAAGUGCAUUUUAUUGCACUUAGAAGAGCGCUAUUCGGUCAUUUUUCACAAUGGAAGUUUUGAAGACUUGUGUACUUAGAAGAAAUGCAUGUACUGCGGCUUGUUUCUGGCGAAGCAAAGUUGUACAGAAGCCUUCAGUUAGGAAGAUUAGUACUACUUCUCCAAGGCGCACUGUCAUGCCUGCUUGGGUGAUAGAUAGAUAUGGGAAGAAUGAAGUCCUUCGAUUCACAAAGAACAUGAUGCUACCUAUCAUACAUUAUCCAAAUGAAGUUAUUAUAAAAGUCCAUGCUGCGAGCAUAAAUCCUAUAGAUGUUAAUAUCAGAAGUGGUUAUGGAGCAACAGCUUUAAAUAUGAAGCGUGAUCCUUUACAUGUGAAAACCAAAGGGGCAGAAUUUCCUCUGACGCUAGGUCGGGAUGUCUCCGGUGUGGUGAUGGAGUGUGGGCUUGAUGUGAAGUAUUUCAAGCCUGGAGAUGAGGUCUGGGCUGCAGUUCCUCCUUGGAAACAAGGCACUUUCUCGGAAUUCGUUGUGGUCAGCGGGAAUGAGGUCUCUCACAAGCCCAAAUCACUCACUCAUAUUCAAGCUGCUUCUUUGCCAUAUGUGGCUCUCACAGCCUGGUCUGCCAUAAACAAGGUUGGUGGCCUGAAUAACAAGAACUGCACAGGAAAACGAGUUUUAAUCUUGGGCGCUUCUGGCGGGGUUGGUACUUUUGCAAUACAGAUAAUGAAAGCGUGGGAUGCUCAUGUGACAGCAGUUUGCUCUAAAGAUGCCAAUGAGCUUGUAAGGAAGCUUGGGGCGGAUGAUGUAAUUGAUUACAAAUCUGGAAGUGUAGAAGAGCAGCUGAAACCCUCAAAACCGUUUGAUUUUAUCCUUGAUAAUGUUGGUGGAUCCACUGAAACAUGGGCUCUAAAUUUUCUCAAGAAAUGGUCAGGAGGCACCUAUGUGACUUUGGUGACUCCUUUCCUCCUGAACAUGGAUCGCCUGGGCGUAGCAGACGGCAUGCUGCAGACGGGAUUCACAGUGGGCACAAAGGCAUUAAAGCAUUUCUGGCAAGGAGUCCAUUAUCGCUGGGCCUUUUUCAUGGCCAGUGGCGUACAUCUAGAUGAAAUUGCGGAACUAGUAGAUGCAGGAAAGGAAUUGCUGAAUGACUCAUUGUGCUGUGGUCAGCCCUCUCGGGUUAUUUGCCACAAUAGGCCUGCCCAGCCAGAUGAAAGUGCAGUCACUGCUGGGUCAUCAGCUCAGCCUGUGUGGCUCCCAGAAGAGCACUGAAGUGAACGCAGUUCGGUGGCUUAGGCGGCUCAUUCUGGAGUGGAGCCUGUUCUGUGUACCUGCUCCGGAUUCAGCCAGUUAUUGAACAAACCUUUCCUUUUUCUAAAGUUCCGGAAGCCUUCCUGAAGGUGGAAAGAGGACACGCACGAGGAAAGACUGUAAUUAAUGUAAUUUAAAUAAAUGCUCUGUGCAGUUA